GAAGAUGGGCUCCACCUGGAGGGGGGUGGAGACAAGCACAAGGACAGGUGAAACAGAUCAACAUUAUGUAAAAAAAAAAAAAAAAAGAUCUGCGUAUAAAAACACACAAAAUAGCAGAAUUGGUCAGGAUCCGUAAGACGGCUGCUAUCCACUGCAGAGCCAUCUUUUUCAUCAAAAUCAAAUCAAAUUUUAUUGGUCACAUACACAUGGUUAGCAGAUGUUAUUGCGAGUGUAGCGAAAUGCUUGUCAUAGCUUGCAUCAGCUGUAAUAAAUCAUGAUUUAUUCACAAUCACAAUGACAAAGGAAGGCUUAGAAAUAAGAGUUUGGCAUUUUGAUAGAAAUGUCUAAAUCAGGGUGACUGUCCUUACCUUAAGUGGUAUGGCCACCAAUGGAGUUUGCCUGUGGGUUCGUCUUCACCCCUCCAUCAACCUAUCAGGGGAAAGUCAAAAGGAAAUCACUAAUUGCAAUUAAACGUUCAGGUAAGUUAUGAUUUUUCCGGCACACUUCAAAUGAAAUCUUGCUAACAUUGUUCACUGUUACCACCCCUACCCUAGAUACUGCUGUGUACAAAAAGACCACCGAACUUUUGUCAGUGAACCAACUAAUGUUUUCCAGUUCAUUAAUGAAUCUUGUGUAGUCCACAUUAACAAUGUUCUGUCUUUCAUCUCUCCCAGCUCCCCUCCCUCCCCCAAACAGAGCGUGUCCCUGCAGUCCUACCCCUCCAGCACCCUCCUCAGAAUCUCAAAAACAACAGCCCCCUUUCCAGAGCAGAAAAUCACAUUUAAAAAUGGUGAGGUGAAGAGAGCUCCCAACUCCUCGCCACUGUUUGAGAAUGCAGCCUUCCAUCUUAGCUCUACUUCCUUCAUCCAUGCGAUCUCAAUCACCUGCUUACAUCCAGCCAAUCCCAGGCACCCCUUCCCUUCCAGGAACCAGAGGCUGACCUUCCGAAGGAGGAACCAGACAUUGGGGGUCAUCCAUGGGAUCCAGACUACUCAUACAUUAUCCCAGAAGGCAGUGGGGAAGGGAUGAAGCAUUUAAACACCACCGUCAACAGAUGACUGGUCAAUUUGCUUUAAAGAGACAUUCUUUGGUAGGCUUAAAGCUAGUAUAAUCAGACAA